rnacentral:lncRNA from 1 species
UGUCAGGACACAGGAGGUUUUCACCUCCCUGGCAGUGCUGGUUUGACUGCUCGCACAAGCAGGCUCUGCAAAGGGUUGCAAACCUAUGAUGGGGGAGGGCGAGGAAGGCAAAUAGGUAGGAAUGAUAACUUGGGUUUUGUUUUGUUUUGUUUUUUUACAUUUUAUUUUUUUUGUUUACAUUUUACUUUAUUUUUUUUCCCCAAAUUGAUUACCAGUUGUGCUUUCGAAGCACCAUUUACAACGCGGAUCAAAAACCGAGGAGGUCUCGUUUAAAUCCACGUCAAACAGCGAGUUUCCAUAUCAGCGUUGCUCAGCCUGUGACCUGCUGCCUGUUGGUGGUCUCUCAGACAUUGGAAGGUGGUCCGUGAAAGAAGCGCAGUAAAAUUAAAUGUUCCAGACUCUGCUUAUGGGCUGGUUCUCGACUGCUUGCCAGCAUUGUCUGAGAAGUACAAG